UAUAUUCAACAUAGGAAUAGAGGUCUGUCAAUUCCAGGCAUGAUCCUUGGACAAAAGGUUCAAGAUUACAAGCCGCUGAGAGAAGAUCUUCGCAAAUUACUUUAGUUUGAAACCUAUUUUCGUUGCCACCACAGCCUCCGUAUGAGAACUCCAGGCAUUCGUUUUGGUCUGGGUGAUAGGAAAACCAAUUGGAGUAGUGUGCGCAGG